rnacentral:rRNA from 1 species
AUUGAACGCUGGCGGCAGGCCUAACACAUGCAAGUCGAACGAGUGGCGGACGGGUGAGUAAUGUCUGGGAAACUGCCUGAUGGAGGGGGAUAACUACUGGAAACGGUAGCUAAUACCGCAUACCAUCGGAUGUGCCCAGAUGGGAUUAGCUAGUAGGUGGGGUAAAGGCUCACCUAGGCGACGAUCCCUAGCUGGUCUGAGAGGAUGACCAGCCAAACUGGAACUGAGGCACGGUCCAGGCUCCUACGGGAGGCAGCAGUGGGGAAUAUUGCACAGUGGGCGCAAGCCUGAUGCAGCAAUGACGCGUGUAUGAAGAAGGCCUUCGGGUUUUAAAGUACUUACAGCGGGGAGGCGUUACCCGCAGAAGAGGCACCGGCUAACUCCGUGCCAGCCGCCGCGGUAAUAC